rnacentral:rRNA from 1 species
GAUGAACGCUGGCGGCGUGCCUAAUACAUGCAAGUCGAGCGAACGGACGAGAAGCUUGCUUCUCUGAUGUUAGCGGCGGACGGGUGAGUAACACGUGGAUAACCUACCUAUAAGACUGGGAUAACUUCGGGAAACCGGAGCUAAUACCGGAUAAUAUUUUGAACCGCAUGGUUCAAAAGUGAAAGACGGUCUUGCUGUCACUUAUAGAUGGAUCCGCGCUGCAUUAGCUAGUUGGUAAGGUAACGGCUUACCAAGGCAACGAUGCAUAGCCGACCUGAGAGGGUGAUCGGCCACACUGGAACUGAGACACGGUCCAGACUCCUACGGGUGGCAGCAGUAGGGAAUCUUCCGCAAAGGGCGAAAGCCUGACGGAGCAACGCCGCGUGAGUGAUGAAGGUCUUCGGAUCGUAAAACUCUGUUAUUAGGGAAGAACAUAUGUGUAAGUAACUGUGCACAUCUUGACGGUACCUAAUCAGAAAGCCACGGCUAACUACGUG